AGUGAACGCUGGCGGCAGGCCUAACACAUGCAAGUCGAGCGGCAGCGCGGGGGCAACCCUGGCGGCGAGCGGCGGACGGGUGAGGAACACAUCGGAAUCUACCCAGUCGUGGGGGCAUAACGUAGGGAAACCUUACGCUAAUACCGCAUACGACCUGAGGGUGAAGGCAGGGGACCGCAAGGCCUUGCGCGAUUGGAUGAGCCGAUGUCCGAUUAGCUAGUUGGUGGGGUAAAGGCCCACCAAGGCGACGAUCGGUAGCUGGUCUGAGAGGAUGAUCAGCCACACUGGAACUGAGACACGGUCCAGACUCCUACGGGAGGCAGCAGUGGGGAAUAUUGGACAAUGGGCGCAAGCCUGAUCCAGCCAUGCCGCGUGUGUGAAGAAGGCC
rnacentral:rRNA from 1 species